GACGUAGGGGGCCAGCGUUGUUCGGAAUUACUGGGUGUAAAGGGUUCGUAGGCGGUGUGGCAAGUCGGGAGUGAAAUUUCUGGGCUCAACUCAGAGACUGCUUCCGAAACUGCUGUGCUGGAGUGUGGGAGAGGCGCGUGGAAUUGCAGGUGUAGCGGUGAAAUGCGUAGAUAUCUGCAGGAACACCCGUGGCGAAAGCGGCGCGCUGGACCACUACUGACGCUGAGGAACGAAAGCCAGGGGAGCAAACGGG
rnacentral:rRNA from 1 species